GAAUAGCCCCGAUGGAAGUGGAAAUCCUGUUAUUGUGAGAUUGCCUCGCAAGCUCGCAAUGACAGAUUAUAACGGACAGCGGAACUGAGA
rnacentral:sRNA from 19 species